GAGGCAGCCUGUGAAAAACAAACCAAUCCGACAUAACGAAUCUUUUGAUACCUUCUGGACAUUAGGGUCAGAGCUUCGCUGCUACUGGAAGGACAAGAUACCUGUCACUGCUGACUCCAGGUGGCAGAGGUGCAAUUUAUGAUAAAAGCAAGUAAAAGUGAACUGGAUAGUCCACAUGAAGUGAUGAUCAGGAGGCCAUCUGUGGACCGGCAGUGAUGAGUGGGCUGGAGGACGGCAGGCAAAUUGUGGCAGACUUCGGUGGAUGGACUGACAUGAUGGUCAAAAUCCAGUGAUCCCAAGAAUGACUCAGUGGAUUAGAUAAUGUUUUUAAAGACACAUAGGUGGAACUGGGGCAGCUGUUAUUUAUGUUUAGCAAGAAUGAUGGAACUGAUAUCAACAUUCUGCAUUGUCCUCCUCCUGUCAUCUGCUGCCUUAGGCGCGACGGAGGCGGGCGCGACGUCCUCCCAGCUACGGCUGCCGCGUGAGCCGGAGGACACAGUGGCGCGCGAGGGCGAGCCGGC